rnacentral:pre_miRNA from 1 species
CCCAAAAUUUUUGUCUUAGAUUUGUCUAGAUACGGAUGUAUCAAGUCACAUUUUAGUAUUAGAUACAUCCGUAUCUAGACAAAUCUAAGACAAGAAAUUUGGGACAGAGGGAGUAGUUG